rnacentral:rRNA from 1 species
UACGAAGGGGGCUAGCGUUGUUCGGAAUCACUGGGCUUAAAGGGCGCGUAGGCGGACCAUCAAGUCAGGAGUGAAAUCCCCCGGCUCAACCGGGGAAGUGCUUUUGAUACUGGUGGUCUCGAGUGGGGUAGGGGCGUGCGGAACUUCCGGUGGAGCGGUGAAAUGCGUAGAGAUCGGAAGGAACGCCGGUGGCGAAAGCGGCACGCUGGACCCUUUCUGACGCUGAGGCGCGAAAGCCAGGGGAGCAAACGGG